UACGUAGGGGGCAAGCGUUGUCCGGAAUCAUUGGGCGUAAAGCGCGUGUAGGCGGCUUGGUAAGUCCGCUCUGAAAGCCCGGGGCUCAACCCCGGGAGGCGGGUGGAUACUGUCAAGCUCGAGUCCGGAAGAGGCGAGUGGAAUUCCUGGUGUAGCGGUGAAAUGCGUAGAUAUCAGGAGGAAUACCGAUGGCGAAGGCAGGUCUCUGGGCUAUAACUGACGCUCAUGCACGAAAGCGUGGGGAGCAAACAGG
rnacentral:rRNA from 1 species